ACUUACUCCUGUCCCACUUCAAAGGGCUGUCUGCGCUGGGACCCUCCUUCCUUGCCCUAGGUGAAGUUGUAAAUAUGGGAAAGGAUCAAUGCACAUUUGCGACUAAUUGUAUUAUUUCCUCCUCCUCCUCCUGCUCUUUUCGGGUUGAGGCCUGUCACUGAGCAGCCGCUUCGCCUUUCUAAUCCCCGAGCUGGAGUAAAGGCGCUGGCCGGCGGGCCUGCGCCCUCCGCCGGGCCUGGGCCUCCCGGCAGCCCGGCACGAACCAUCCUCCUCCGCCAAACCCGACCGAGCAGGAAAGGGGGCUGUGAAAUAAACACCUCCGGCUGCCACUUACUCCCCUCUACCCCGGAUAGCAGCUAAUCCCCUCCGCUCCCGGCAGCGCUGGGCCGCUGGGCUGAGAGGCCCAGCCCGCUGCUGGAGAGGGCAGGGAGGGGAAGGGGAGACAAGGAGGGGGGAUUACCUGAGCAAAUCGGCGUCUGAAUCCAACGAGAAUCCGAGAGGGGGGAGAGAAAUCCGCCCCCCUCCCUCCUCAGAGGAGCCGCCGCCGCUGGGCCGCCGCCGCCGCCGCGGAGCAGGAGGAGGAGGAGGGGAGAUAAUAUAACAACAAUAAUCCGGGCCGGGAGGGGGGCUGGCUCCUCUUCCGUCUCCUCCUCAGUGCAGCGAACAUGUAGAGCCGGGGGGUGUGCGGCCGAGGCAAAUCCCUUCCCCCCGAGCCUGCUUCACAACAUCAACACGGGCCGGGCCGGGCCGCGCCGCGCCGAACCGGUUCCGAGCCGGGGAGAGCGGAGGGUGGCCGAGGGGCAGCGCUGCCAAGGGGCCGCCGCCGCCGCCGCUCCCUCCGAGAGUGCGAGCGCAGGAGGGCGGGGAGGGGCGGCCUGGGCACGCAUGGUGGAGAGGAAGAGGAGGAGGACUGCAGAAGGCUGCCUCGCAGGAGGCAGACCUGGAAAGAGCCCUUAAACUGAACCCUCAAAGGCGGCAGCCCCUGCAGGUGGGACACUCGCUGGAGUUACUGUCGCCGCUCAUGCCCUUUCUCUGCGGAUGUGAGGGGCCGCCCCGCAGAAACCAAAGACCCUCUGCUCAAAGCAUUGCCGGGGCGAGGGAUUUCCAGAUGGACAUACGGAACGAGAGUGACUUUCAAAAACGGGCUUUUUGAACCAGCACUGGGGAAAAUACUGAUGUUCAGGUGAAAUGUCCUUCGCUGGAGGCUGAGGCUCCACCGCCACCAGAUUUACUGGAAAUAUUUUUUGUAUUGUGAAGGAGUGUUUGGAGAAAGAGCAAGUCCUAAUCUGAAAGACUUUUUGGUGUUCCUCUGUACAGGUAAAACUGAAUAAUCAUAGCACAGGAUAAUAAUGAAGAAGCAUUUACAUCCCAUGAAUUAACUAUGUCUUUUAGUACUCACUUAAUGUCGAUUUGCUGCUCAGUACUUGGACAAAAUUCCUUUCAUUUCUUGAGGAAGAACUCCUUGACUGUCGACUUCAGGAAUCAGCUGGACACACCUGUAAAUACCCUGUGACAUAUAAACACACCCUUUCAGCGAUGGAUGAAUGUUAUUUGCACAAAGGGAUAAAAUCUUACACCAGUGCACCUGACCUCUCCAAUGCUUAGGAUUUUUUGAAUAGUGCUCUGUCUUUACUACAGAUUUCAAAUGCCUCUCUUAUGCUUAAACUACUACAAAAUUCGUAAUUUUGGGGGAAUCAAAGUUUGUUUUAAAGUAUGUUUUUGCUUAAAAGCACAGAAAUGAAGACGGCACUGGAAAACACGGUAAUUCAGUAGUGGAAAUACUAUUGUUCUAAUGGCAUAUAUUAGAGACAGAGUAAACUGGGUUCUGAAAAAAAAUGUAUUACAGACCUUUGUUCCAAGUUAAUAGAAAAGGUCCCAAUCCUAAAAUUGUCUAUGCAUUUAUAAUUUGAAGUUAUCAAUUUGAAAUAAAGGUAAAUAAUUGGUCUUGCA
rnacentral:lncRNA from 1 species